UCGCGGAUCAUGCUCCACCGACCCAAGGGAUCAAGGAAAACCGUGCGAUUAAUGUCGGUUUGAUCCGACGGCCCACAUUCAUUUGGAAGGACUAUAUAAGCAGACCCCCUGGCCCCUGGAGAACAAACCUCUUCUACAGAAUCAAAGCUAGGGUUUCAAUUAUUCAUCCAAGUAGAGAGGAUCCCUCUAGUUCAUCUAGUUCUAGUUCUAGUUCAUCUAGUUCUAGUUCUAGUUAGUUCUAGUUGUCAUCUAGAAAAUAGGG
rnacentral:lncRNA from 1 species